UAUCACUAGGGGUGCCGACUUUUAGUCAGCUGAGAUCAUACCCUUAACCUGAUCCAGGUAAUGCUGGCGGAGGUAAGUGCUUUAUA
rnacentral:ncRNA from 1 species